GUCGUGCCUGUGGAGUAGUGUGCUAAGGGUUGCGCUCAUUGUGUUAGCAAGUUGGAGAGGUUGUUUGUUUGCUAUUCUCUUGAUGUCCAGAUCGGGGUCUAGUGUGCAAUUGAGAUCGCCACAGAUAAUAGUGUGCCCUACACGGAUAGUAGCGAUUUUAUUCAGUGCUCUUUUAAUGAAGGAAAUUUGGGAAUUGUUGGGUGCAUAAAUGGAAGCAAUUGUAAGUUGCAUACCAUUCAGC